rnacentral:rRNA from 1 species
UAUUAGAGCAAAUCAAUCAUUUUCGGAUGUAGUUUGCUGACUCUGAAUAACGCAGCAUAUCGGCGGCUUGUUCGCCGAUAAUCCGAAAAAGUGUCUGCCCUAUCAACCUGAUGGUAGUCUAUUAGUCUACCAUGGUUAUUACGGGUAACGGAGAAUAAGGGUUCGACUCCGGAGAGGGAGCCUUAGAAACGGCUACCACAUCCAAGGAAGGCAGCAGGCGCGAAACUUAUCCAAUCUUGAAUAGAUGAGAUAGUGACUAAAAAUAAAAAGACCAUUCCUAUGGAACGGUUAUUUCAAUGAGUUGAUCAUAAACCUUUUUUCGAGUAUCCAGUGGAGGGCAAGUCUGGUGCCAGCAGCCGCGGUAAUUCCAGCUCCACUAGUGUAAAUCGUCAUUGCUGCGGUUAAAAAGCUCGUAGUUGGAUCUGAGUUGCAUGCAAUGAUUCGCCUUUGGCGUUAAUCAUUGUUGUGACUAUUUGCUGGUUUUCUAUUGAAAUUUCGAUUUCUUUAGUGGCUAGCGAGUUUACUUUGAAUAAAUUAGAGUGCUCAGAACAAGCGUUUGCUUGAAUGGUCGAUCAUGGAAUAAUAAAAGAGGACUUCGGUUCUAUUUAUUGGUUCAGGAACUGAAGUAAUGAUUAAGAGGGACAAUUCGGGGGCAUUCGUAUCCCUGCGCGAGAGGUGAAAUUCGUGGACCGCAGGGGGACGCCCUAAAGCGAAAGCAUUUGCCAAGAAUGUCUUCAUUAAUCAAGAACGAAAGUCAGAGGUUCGAAAGGCGAUUAGAUACCGCCCUAGUUCUGACCGUAAACUAUGCCAUCUAGCGAUCCGAUGGGGUAUUGUUGCCUUGUCGAGGAGC